AGCAGAUAAAUCAAAGUGUAUUCCAGUGAUAUUUCGUGUGUCACAAGUGUUUAACAUCCUCCUUUUAUAGUAAUUUUGGAGAUAUGUGCCUUACCCUUGUAAUAAUAAGGCUAUUAUGAGCAUUUAAUGACAUUAAAUGAAACGUUACACAGUCAUUUCAUUAAACAAAUAUUCUCUACUCCCUCCGGUCCAAAAUGAGUAAUUUUUUUGCCUUUUUCUUGUGGUCCAAAAUAAGUGUUUUUUUCAAAUUUCA
rnacentral:lncRNA from 1 species